UGUUGAUGGUGUGGGCAGUCCCUGAGAAGAGAUUUGAAUAUCUCUCAAGCAUGAUAUAAGUUCUCAUCUGGCUUUUGCUUAAAACUCAGGAUCUCACUUCUUAAUCU
rfam:Capsicum annuum cultivar Zunla-1 unplaced genomic scaffold scaffold5246, whole genome shotgun sequence